GAUGAACGCUGGCGGCGUGCCUAAUACAUGCAAGUCGAGCGAACGGACGAGAAGCUUGCUUCUCUGAUGUUAGCGGCGGACGGGUGAGUAACACGUGGAUAACCUACCUAUAAGACUGGGAUAACUUCGGGAAACCGGAGCCAAUACCGGAUGAUAUUUUGAACCGCAUGGUUCAAAAGUGAAAGACGGUCUUGCUGUCACUUAUAGAUGGAUCCGCGCUGCAUUAGCUAGUUGGUAAGGUAACGGCUUACCAAGGCAACGACGCAUAGCCGACCUGAGAGGGUGAUCGGCCACACUGGAACUGAGACACGGUCCAGACUCCUACGGGAGGCAGCAGUAGGGAAUCUUCCGCAAUGGGCGAAAGCCUGACGGAGCAACGCCGCGUGAGUGAUGAAGGUCUUCGGAUCGUAAAACUCUGUUAUUAGGGAAGAACAUAUGUGUAAGUAACUGUGCACAUCUUGACGGUACCUAAUCAGAAAGCCACGGCUAACUACGUG
rnacentral:rRNA from 1 species